rnacentral:rRNA from 1 species
AACGAACGCUGGCGGCGUGCCUAACACAUGCAAGUCGAGCGCGAAAAGGGCAACCUGAGUAGAGCGGCGCACGGGUGCGUAACACGUGGGUAAUCUGCCUUAGAGUCGAGGAUAACCUUCCGAAAGGUUGGCUAAUACUCGGUAAGCUUACGGUGUCUUCGGACGCUGUGGGAAAAGUAGGCCUCUGUUUACAAGCUUACGCUCUGAGAUGAGCCCGCGGCCCAUCAGCUAGUUGGCGGUGUAACGGACCACCAAGGCAACGACGGGUAGCUGGUCUGAGAGGACGAUCGGCCACACUGGAGCUGAGACACGGUCCAGACUCCUACGGGAGGCAGCAGUGGGGAAUUUUCCACAAUGGGCGAAAGCCUGAUGGAGCAACGCCGCGUGUGUGAUGAAGGUUUUCGGAUCGUAAAGCACUUUCGACUGGGACGAAAAACCUUUGGCUAACAUCCAGGGGCCUGACGGUACCAGGAGAAGAAGCACCGGCUAACUCUGUGCCAGCAGCCGCAGUAUAC